rnacentral:pre_miRNA from 1 species
CAGGAGCCACCUUCUGGGCCUCUAGCACCACAUGUCUGGGCCACGUGAGCAUGGCCACGUGGGCCUGAUGUGGUGCGGGCGGCGCAGAGGUCUGGUCU